GACGAACGCUGGCGGCGUGCCUAACACAUGCAAGUCGAGCGAGGAGAGUUCCUUCGGGAACAAACCUAGCGGCGGACGGGUGAGUAACACGUGGGCAACCUGCCUUGUAGAGGGAAUAGCCUUCCGAAAGGAAGAUUAAUACCGCAUAACAUUACAGUUUCGCAUGAAACAGUAAUUAAAGGAGUAAUCCGCUACAAGAUGGGCCCGCGGCGCAUUAGCUAGUUGGUGAGGUAACGGCUCACCAAGGCGACGAUGCGUAGCCGACCUGAGAGAGUGAUCGGCCACAUUGGGACUGAGACACGGCCCAGACUCCUACGGGAGGCAGCAGUGGGGAAUAUUGCACAAUGGGGGAAACCCUGAUGCAGCAACGCCGCGUGAGUGAUGAAGGUUUUCGGAUCGUAAAGCUCUGUCUUCGGGGACGAUAAUGACGGUACCCGAGGAGGAAGCCACGGCUAACUACGUG
rnacentral:rRNA from 1 species